UGGGGAAUAUUGCACAAUGGAGGGAACUCUGAUGCAGCGACGCCGCGUGAGUGAUGAAGGAUUUCGUUUCGUAAAACUCUGUUCUAUGGGAAGAAAAGGACUGUACCAUAGGAGAAAGCUCCGGCUAAAUACGUGCCAGCAGCCGCGGUAAUACGUAUGGAGCGAGCGUUGUCCGGAAUUAUUGGGCGUAAAGGGUGCGCAGGCGGCUUUACAAGUUGGAUGUGAAAUAUUGUGGCUCAACCACAAACGUGCAUCCAAAACUGCAAAGCUUGAGUUAAGGAGAGGGAAGUGGAAUUCCUGGUGUAGCGGUGGAAUGCGUAGAUAUCAGGAGGAAUACCGGUGGCGAAGGCGACUUACUGGACUUAAACUGACGCUCAGGCACGAAAGCGUGGGGAGCAAACAGG
rnacentral:rRNA from 1 species